AGCGACUACUGGCAACAACGUAAAAGUCGCUGAGAGGCUGAGGUUGGGCCUUGUUUGCCGUUUGUCCGACACGCUACCAAAAAGAUUCGCUGAGAUCAAAACUGUAGGUUUAAUAACUUUUAUUAAUGAAAGUGAUCAACUUAUUAUAACUUGCACAAAAUAUAGGAUACUCAAAAUAAUCACUGCGUUCAGGUGUAAAACAGCGUUCAGGUGUAAAACAGCGUUCAGGUGUAAAACAGCGUUCAGGUGUAAAACAGCGUUCA